rnacentral:rRNA from 1 species
CCUACGGGAGGCAUCAGUGGGGAAUAUUGGACAAUGGGGGCAACCCUGAUCCAGCCAUGCCGCGUGUGUGAAGAAGGCCCUCGGGUUGUAAAGCACUUUCAGUGAGGAAGAACGCCUGGUGGUUAAUACCCAUCAGGAAAGACAUCACUCACAGAAGAAGCACCGGCUAACUCCGUGCCAGCAGCCGCGGUAAUACGGAGGGUGCGAGCGUUAAUCGGAAUUACUGGGCGUAAAGCGCGCGUAGGUGGCUUGAUAAGCCGGUUGUGAAAGCCCCGGGCUCAACCUGGGAACGGCAUCCGGAACUGUCAAGCUAGAGUGCAGGAGAGGAAGGUAGAAUUCCCGGUGUAGCGGUGAAAUGCGUAGAGAUCGGGAGGAAUACCAGUGGCGAAGGCGGCCUUCUGGACUGACACUGACACUGAGGUGCGAAAGCGUGGGUAGCAAACAGGAUUAGAUACCCGAGUAGUC